AGAUAGUCAUCUCAGCCCACCAAACUAAACAGUUCAACUACCAUGAAAGAUUAGAAUGUAAUAAUUCCCUAGACUUGACCCUUCCUGUUUAACAUCAUUAAUAAUCAGUUAUUCCUUUAUUUAAAAGUGUGGUGGUCGUGCUGCUACAUCCCUUCUUUCCCAAAGCAAAGAUCAGGUGCCUGCAUCAGACAAUGCAAGGGUGAGAUGACACAUCUCAGCAAGUAAAAAAAACAAACAACAGUUGGACAAUGCAAGCCAACCGUGCAUAAGCAACCACAUGGUUCCCAACUUCUUCCUUAAAUAUUAAUUUGCAGCAAGUAAGCAAGUAAUCAAUUACUCAAUGCCAAGAAGAAUUACAAAGUAAAGAUCCACCUUAUCCACAUCACCAAAAUAGGUUCCACACUUCACCCAUGAAUGCACAUGGCUACAGAUGCAACAUGACUUCUGCCUUCAUACCUCUAAGGAUAUGAAGCUGCAUCAUACCCCUUCUCGGGAAACAUAUGAUGCUCAUUGUACCGGUACGGUCGGACCAUAAGAUCGCGACGAAAACUUCAAUGCAAUGGAUGAUGAAUGCAUUAUGCAUGUCAACAACAUGAGUUCUUCCCAAAUAAGAUGUGCUAGACAUAUACUUCCACCCAUUUCACAUCAAUAACCACAUGGGUAACAUGAUCAAACCACACCCUCCACAUGUAUAAUCAAUAGAGCAUGAAUAAUUUCAAACGAUGGUACCCAAUUAGGAAUAUGGAUACAAACACAAGUAGCACAAACAUAAUCAAGUAUGAGACUCUUCAAUCAAAAGACGAAAUAACCAUCACUGUUUUACUUGCCUUUACCGAAGUUCGGGCAAAAUCUCUAAGAACGAUCCGGAAGUCCACCACCUGUUUUUGACACCCAACUUAGUGCACCAAAUUCUCAUGAAAAAAAAAACUCAAAGACAACACCGCACCUACGCGCAAUCUCAAACCCCGCCACGGUAACAAUUCUCCCCUCACUAACCAAACUGCAGCGGCGCUGCUUAACAAUUCCAUAACUUAAAAUUUAGGACAGCAGUGAUAAUAAACAAAAACUUCAGAGACAACUACAUAAAAUUCCCCACAAGUUUUGUAUACAACUCAUGAUUGAAUUCUAACAUCUACUUACCUCUAAACGGUCCUCAAAAUAAACCCUGCAAUCUGUUUUUUUCUGAUUUGAGCAGCGACAUACGCGGAUUCAAACAGCGAUAACUUUUAAAAUAUAAUUCCGAUUUGAGCGCAUAAGUACUUGUUGGAAAGAUAAGAAAAAGCCCUACAUGAUUCUCAUACUGAUUAACACUAAUUACUCCCGAAACAUCCCCAGAAACUGCUAACACUGCUGCUGUUCAUCACUCUGAAAAAUCUGUUUUCUGGACAGCCACAUACCCGGAUUCAAACGAUGAUAACUUUUAAUUUAUAACUCCAAAUUGAGCGCAUAAAUACUCGUUGGAAAGAUAAAACAAAGUUCUACAAGAUUCUCAUACUGAUUAACACUAAUUGCUCCCGAAAAAUCCCCAGAAACUGCUAACACUGCUGCUGUUCAUCACUCUGAAAAAUCUGUUUUCUGGACAGCCACAUACCCGGAUUCAAACGAUGAUAACUUUUAAUUUAUAACUCCAAAUUGAGCGCAUAAAUACUCGUUGGAAAGAUAAAACAAAGUUCUACAAGAUUCCCAAAUUGAUCCCCAUUAAAUCUUCACGAAAAAAAAACUAAAAACUGCUGGAACUACCGCUGUUCAUCCACCACGCAAAAUUCUGGACAGCCCCCCUCUAUCUAAUCGCAAACGCAACAUCUAAUCAAUUGAAUCGCAGCGCAAAUGAACAAGGGAUGAACACAAAAGAAAAAUCACCUUGGGUUCUCCCCUUUUCCUUCCUCCCUUCUUCCUUCCACCAAAACGAUUGGAGAUUCGCACCAAAAGACGAUGAUCCGAGCGGCACGGAGUAGCACCUAGGGAGGAGGGGAUUGGGGGGGCGGCUAGGGUUUUGGUGGCUGCAACAAUGGAGGGAGGAGGAGGUG
rnacentral:lncRNA from 1 species